UACGAAGGGGGCUAGCGUUGCUCGGAUUGACUGGGCGUAAAGGGCGCGUAGGCGGUUCGUACAGUCAGACGUGAAAUUCCUGGGCUCAACCUGGGGGCUGCGUUUGAUACGUGCGGACUUGAGUGCGGAAGAGGGUCGUGGAAUUCCCAGUGUAGAGGUGAAAUUCGUAGAUAUUCGGAAGAACACCAGUGGCGAAGGCGGCUCACUGGCCCGGUACUGACGCUGAGGUGCGAAAGCGUGGGGAGCAAACAGG
rnacentral:rRNA from 1 species